CAGGCAUAACACAUGCAAGUCGAACGGUAACAGGAAGCAGCUUGCUGCUUCGCUGACAAGUGGCGGACGGGUGAGUAAUGUCUGGGAAACUGCCUGAUGGAGGGGGAUAACUACUGGAAACGGUAGCUAAUACCGCAUAAUGUCGCAAGACCAAAGAGGGGGACCUUCGGGCCUCUUGCCAUCGGAUGUGCCCAGAUGGGAUUAGCUAGUAGGUGGGGUAACGGCUCACCUAGGCGACGAUCCCUAGCUGGUCUGAGAGGAUGACCAGCCACACUGGAACUGAGACACGGUCCAGACUCCUACGGGAGGCAGCAGUGGGGAAUAUUGCACAAUGGGCGCAAGCCUGAUGCAGCCAUGCCGCGUGUAUGAAGAAGGCCUUCGGGCUGUAAAGUACUUUCAGCGAGGAGGAAGGCGAUAAGGUUAAUAACCUUGUCGAUUGACGUUACUCGCAGAAGAAGCACCGGCUAACUCCGUGCCAGCAGCCGCGGUAAU
rnacentral:rRNA from 1 species